rnacentral:lncRNA from 1 species
CAUGCGCUGUUAUGUGAUAGGAAGAUACAACGGAGUAUGCCUUGAAUUGAAACAUUGCUAGCUGGGAGUUGUAUUUGGGAAUAGGUCAACACUCACCUACCUUUUUUUUUCUCUUUUUCCCAUGCUUCCAUUUCCUUUCUUGGAACACACGGCUCACAGGUUCUCAUUCCUUCUUCUCCCAUCACCUACCUUUUUUCUUUUGAUCCAAAGAUUCCAAAUAGAUGUUUUGAGAAGCCUAAUAGGUGCAUUC